CCGUAGAGUGUGCUUGAGGCCCGUUCGCCGGAGCUCCCCCUAGCCCCGGCCGCCGCGCCCGCUGGAGCUCCCGUCCCGGCCCCGCCCGCCGCGCCCGCUGGCACGCUCGCCCUCGGCCCUGCCCGCCGUGCUCGCACCGCCGGCGCCCCCGCCUGCCGCGCCCCUCACCGGCCUGCCCCGCUGACGCCCUAGCCGGUCACCCGCCGACGCCUCCGCCCUGCCGACGCCCCCAAGCCCGGUGACCCGCUGUGACCGUCGUGCCCGCCCCGCCACCCCAAGCUAUUCUACUUCUGAAGGACAAAGAAGGAAGAUGAGGAGGCAGGUGGCGUAGUGGUUCGAGUUUGAGUUGAGUCCCAGGUUCACGAAACAAUUCAUACAACAACGCAGCCGAAUCGCCGAAGCCCUGCAAGGAAUUCACGGUCCCCUUCACGAUAAAAUUAAGUUCGUACAAGCGACGAAAGUAGGAUCUGGAACAGUUUUGAGCCGGAUAAUUUCUCUCGUGGAAACUGCCUAGAUGUCUAAGGCUCCUAUUCAGAAGUUUGUUGAUUAUGUAGCCAGCAUUUUCGUUCCUAUUGUCAUCACCCUAUCCUUCUUGACAUUCCUUGCAUGGUUUCUAUGUGGAUGGUUGGGAGCAUAUCCAAACUCAUGGUCUACUGAAAGUAGCAAUUGCUUUGUUUUCUCCCUCAUGUUCUCCAUAUCUGAUGUGUCUUAUUAUGAUUAUGGAUAAGACUUUUGUGAUGUAAUUGAUGAGACUAUGUAUUUAAAUAUUGUUAUGUGAUUGUGUGUGAGAUGUUUUAUGUGAAAAUAUGUUGUGCUAUAUAGCUGUUGAUAUAUUUGUUAUGUUG